GAUGAACGCUAGCGGCAGGCCUAACACAUGCAAGUCGAGGGAGGAGCUUUCGGGCUUCGACCGGCGUACGGGUGCGUAACGCGUAUACAAUCUGCCUUUCACAUAGGGAUAGCCCGAAGAAAUUUGGAUUAAUACCUAAUGGUAUAUAGAGGUGGCAUCACCUUUAUAUUAAAGCUGAGGCGGUGAAAGAUGAGUAUGCGUUCUAUUAGCUAGUUGGAGAGGUAACGGCUCCCCAAGGCGACGAUAGAUAGGGGUUCUGAGAGGGAUAUCCCCCACACUGGUACUGAGAUACGGACCAGACUCCUACGGGAGGCAGCAGUGAGGAAUAUUGGACAAUGGUCGGAAGACUGAUCCAGCCAUGCCGCGUGCAGGAAGACGGCCUUAUGGGUUGUAAACUGCUUUUGCAGGGGAAGAAUAAGGACUACGCGUAGUUUGAUGACGGUACUCUGCGAAUAAGCAUCGGCUAACUCCGUGC
rnacentral:rRNA from 1 species